UACUGGCCAGCACAAUCCCAGA
rnacentral:miRNA from 1 species